AUACGGGGGGUGCAAGCGUUAUUCGGAUUUAUUGGGCGUAAAGGGCGCGUAGGCGGCUUGGUAAGUCAGAUGUGAAAGCCCGGGGCUCAACCCCGGAAGUGCAUUUGAAACUAUCAGGCUUGAGUAUGGGAGAGGGAAGUGGAAUUCCUGGUGUAGAGGUGAAAUUCGUAGAUAUCAGGAGGAACACCGGUGGCGAAGGCGACUUCCUGGACCAAUACUGACGCUGAGGCGCGAAGGCGUGGGGAGCAAACAGGAUUAGAAACCCCGGUAGUCC
rnacentral:rRNA from 1 species